rnacentral:tRNA from 1 species
GGGAUCUUAGCGCAGCUGGGAGAGCAUCUGCCUUACAAGCAGAGGGUCACAGGUUCGAGCCCUGUAGGUCCCA